UGUCAUAUUUGGUGGUAUUACUUCGCUAUAUUUAAUCAAAGGUUCAAAUUUUUUGCAGUGGGUUGAAAAACAAUCAUAUUAUAUUAAUCGUAGUAUUUAUCUCACCAAAAUACUUAACCGUUCGGCUUCUAGAGAUACUUAAGGUGGCGACACCAAUUUUGCAACCCGUCCAAAUUACAGAAAUUAGGUUAAAAAUAAUGCAAAC
rnacentral:lncRNA from 1 species